AUUGAACGCUGGCGGAAUGCUUUACACAUGCAAGUCGAGCGGCAGCACGGGGGCAACCCUGGUGGCGAGCGGCGAACGGGUGAGUAAUACAUCGGAACAUGCCCAGUCGUGGGGGAUAACACUUCGAAAGAAGUGCUAAUGCCGCAUACGUCCUGAGGGAGAAAGCGGGGGAUCUUCGGACCUCGCGCGAUUGGAGUGGCCGAUGUCAGAUUAGCUAGUUGGUGGGGUAAAGGCCUACCAAGGCAACGAUCUGUAGCUGGUCUGAGAGGAUGAUCAGCCACACUGGGACUGAGACACGGCCCAGACUCCUACGGGAGGCAGCAGUGGGGAAUUUUGGACAAUGGGGGCAACCCUGAUCCAGCCAUUCCGCGUGAGUGAAGAAGGCCUUCGGGUUGUAAAGCUCUUUCGGCAGGAACGAAACGGCGAGCUCUAACAUAGCUUGCUAAUGACGGUACCUGAAGAAGAGGCACCGGCUAACUACGUGCCAGCAGCCGCCGUAAAAC
rnacentral:rRNA from 1 species